rnacentral:lncRNA from 1 species
CGGGGAGCCUCGCUAGCUCGGCCCAGCCCGAGGGUCAGCACUUCUCCUGGGGAGCCCAGUGGGCGGGAUGCCCUGAGGAGCCGCUCCGGAGAGUACAGUGCGCAGGCGCAGGUUUCGGGAGCCUGGCUGCCCAGGCCAGUUGGGAAGAGAGGGCGUCCGCAGGAGAAGCGGGUGCUGGCGAUUGAUUUAAGUUAAUUAGCAGCAAAAGUAGGUGAAAUUCCGAGAGAGCCAGCCAGAGUGGCAGGGCAGAAUGCGAAGCCCAGUUCCCUGCAGGAGAGCCCGGCCUUGCUUCCUGGGCUGCAGGAAGCUCAGGGGAGGGAGGGGAAGGGUCUGCUCCUCGGCGCGGCCUCACCUCUGAGAAACCGUCCAGAGGAAAUGGUCUGAAGCUCGGAGGAGGCGGGGCUCAGAGGAGGAGUAAGCAGGUGUCACAGAGCUGUCUCGGGAACAAACCGGGGAGGAAGAGGACGGCCCCUGCCUCCAGGGCUUGCAGCGCCGUCCAGGCCCGAGAGGAGGACUGGGAAGUGCCACGACGCCGGGAUUAGGGCAGGCCCGUGGACUGGGACCCCGGACUUCCUCACCUCCUUUCUGGGCCUUGAUUUCAGCUGAUUACAGGGAGGAGAGAAUUCAAGCUGCCCCAGAAGCUGGAAACGGUCGGAUCCUGCCACCUGCUGGCAGCUUCCGGCUCUGCCUGGGCUCCGUCUGAGCGAGGUAGUAUUCCGUCUCAGAGGGUCCUCUGAGCGCCCUAUGUCUGGCACCCCCCAAAAUACUCUUCCAGUACAACCCGGGAGACGCUUUUCUCCGCAGCAGCGCCCCUUACAGCUUCUCUCAGUGCCUGGCUUCUUCCAUAAGAGUUACGGCUUGCUUGUCUUUCCUGGAGAGAAAAUAAGGAGUAGAAACCCACCUGGCAUAAAAUAGAUUAUUAUUUCUGCUAUGGCAUCUCAGCAACAUGAGGACACUUGUGUUGCUAAAAUGUUCACUUUACGGGAUGGAGACUUUGACAAGCAGUAAGCACACCCAAAAGAAGCUUAAAACCAGCCAGGGCUGGGGUGUGGGUCAGUAGCAGAGUGUUACCAUGCACGAAGCCCUGGAUUUGUUUCCCAGUACAUGCACACACUCCAAAAUCACAGAUUACUUUUCUCACAAUUUUUGUUUUUCUUAUUGUAAAAAAAAGUGUUCAUUGUGGAUAAUCAAAAAAUGAAAAAGGCUAUUUACUAAGACUGGAAUAACUUUGAGGACGUUUUUGCAUGGAUAAUAAAAGAUUCCAAGUAGAUAGCUAUUAGACACCCAAGUGGAGAAGGAAUAUCAGUUGAGACUUUGUCAUUACUUUGAUAACUUUUAAAUUUAAUUUCUGCUUGUAUAUGAAUGCAUAUAUGUACAAUAUAUAAAUACAAAAAUGUGAGUUUCUUUACAAAAACAAAAAAAUGAAAAAGCCAUACUCCUGCUAUGGUGGUUGAGUUUUAUGUGGUCAACUUACUUAGCUUGGGAGCUGCACACUUCUAGGG